GUUGGAGUCAGUGGAUGGAGCAGCCUCUGGGAAGGACAGAUCCUUUAGCUCAGACUGGCCUGGAAUUCACUAUGAGUAGCCCAAACAGACUUUGAACUUCAGACAACCAUCCUGCCUUAGCCUUCCCAGUGUUGGAUGAUUUACAAGUGCGAAUCACCAUGCCUAUCUUCUGUAUUCCUCAUAGUUGAUAGAUGCACAUCAGACCCAUCCCCCAGUUUUAGAUAAAGUUUCAUCUCAGUUUUGACACUCAA